rnacentral:rRNA from 1 species
UCGGAGUUGCUAGUAAUCCCGAAUCAGCAUGUCGGGGUGAAUGCGUUCCCGGGUCUUGUACACACCGCCCGUCACGCCAUGGGAGUCGGAAGUGCCCAAAGUCGGUGACCUAACCGCAAGGAAGGAGCCGCCUAAGGUAAUGCCGAUGACUGGGGUGAAGUCGUAACAAGGUAGC